UACGAAGGGUGCAAGCGUUACUCGGAAUUACUGGGCGUAAAGCGUGCGUAGGCGGUUUGUUAAGUCCGAUGUGAAAGCCCUGGGCUCAACCUGGGAAUGGCAUUGGAUACUGGCAGGCUAGAGUGCGGUAGAGGGCAGUGGAAUUCCCGGUGUAGCAGUGAAAUGCGUAGAGAUCGGGAGGAACAUCUGUGGCGAAGGCGACUGCCUGGACCAGCACUGACACUGAGGCACGAAAGCGUGGGGAGCAAACAGG
rnacentral:rRNA from 1 species